rnacentral:rRNA from 1 species
AUGUCCCCCUGGUUGCAACAACCCCAAUUCCAAUUCCGAUACAUGCAGCAGAAUCUUCCUGUCCAGUUUCAACAACCUCAACAGCCUGUUAGUACUGGGAGUGCUUCUGGAGGGAGUAGUCAGGUUGGAACUGGGAAAAGCAAGAAGAAGAAUAGAGCAGGUGCCAAAAAACAAACUAACUCUGCUGCUACUGGGACCAUGGAUGGUGUUGUUGGACAAGGUGCUACAGAUGCUGAGGAGUUCAUGGUAGAUCCUAAGUAUAUUGUCACAAUUUGCUACAACUGUGGCCUCCCUGGCCACUUUGUUGGCAUGUGCUAUGUCCCAAAGGUGUGUUUUAUCUGCAAAACCCCAGGCCAUCACACGGAUGCUUGCCCCAGGUGGUAUGAUCCAUACCCAGCUGCUCAAUUCUAG